GACGAACGCUGGCGGCGUGCUUAACACAUGCAAGUCGAGCGGUAAGGCCCUUUGGGGUACACGAGCGGCGAACGGGUGAGUAACACGUGGGUGACCUGCCCCCUACUCUGGGAUAAGCCUGGGAAACUGGGUCUAAUACCGGAUAUGACCUCAUAUCGCAUGGUGUGUGGUGGAAAGUUCUUCGGUGGGGGAUGGGCCCGCGGCCUAUCAGCUUGUUGGUGGGGUGAUGGCCUACCAAGGCGACGACGGGUAGCCGGCCUGAGAGGGCGACCGGCCACAGUGGGACUGAGACACGGCCCAGACUCCUACGGGAGGCAGCAGUGGGGAAUAUUGCGCAAUGGGCGGAAGCCUGACGCAGCGACGCCGCGUGGGGGAUGACGGCCUUCGGGUUGUAAACCUCUUUCGGCCCCGACGAAGCGACAAGUGACGGUAGGGGUAGAAGAAGCACCGGCCAACUACGUGCCAGCAGCCGCCGUAAUAC
rnacentral:rRNA from 1 species